AAAAUAUUCUAUAAGCUGUGGAGUCUGAAGAUUUGACGAAAGCAGUAAAUGAGUGAUUCAAUCAUCUAAAAGAAAAUGGCCGGAAGACAUUUCACUGCUGCUUCUGGAACCUUCAAACCCAGAUCUCCGGCAUUAUUUUUACUCCUUGCUCUUCUCGCUCUCACUCUCCUCUUCUACAUCUUCUCCUCCAUCUCCACCUCUUCUAACUCCACCGGCAACCUCAUCUCCUCCCGGAACCCUAACUCCGGUAUCGAUUACUCCUUCGUUUCUUCACUCGAGAAAUUCCUCACCAAAUCUCCACGAUCCGCAACGGCCGGUGAAGAUACAGUUUCAGGAACGACGUCGGUGGAGGAUGCUAGAAAAUUAGAUGAUUCCAUUUGGAAGAAUGAGAAUCAAAGGCUUUAUGAUGAGCCGUUUU
rnacentral:misc_RNA from 1 species